rnacentral:tRNA from 1 species
ACCUAGCUGUCUCAGUCAGUAGAGCACAUGACUCUUGAUCUUGGGGUUGUGAGUUUGAGUCCUAUGUUGGGUA